CCCUUAGAUGUCCUGGGCCGCACGCGCGUUACGCUGAUGCAUUCAACGAGCUUAUAACCUUGGCCGAGAGGCCUGGGCAAUCUUGUUAACGUGCAUCGUGAUAGGGAUAGAUUAUUGAAAUUAUUAAUCUUGAACGAGGAAUUCCUAGUAAACGCAGAUCAUCAAUCUGCAUUGAUUACGUCCCUGCCCUUUGUACACACCGCCCGUCGCUCCUACCGAUUGGGUGUGCUGGUGAAAUGUUCGGAUCGGCCGUUUGUCGCGGUUUCCGCGUCAUGUGGCUGAGAAGUUCAUUAAACCCUCCCACCUAGAGGAAGGAGAAGUCGUAACA
rnacentral:rRNA from 1 species